rnacentral:rRNA from 1 species
UACAGAGGGGGCAAGCGUUGUUCGGAAUUACUGGGCGUAAAGGGCGCGUAGGCGCCUUCUAAGUCGAACGUGAAAUCCCCGGGCUCAACCCGGGAACUGCGUCCGAUACUGGAAGGCUUGAAUCCGGGAGAGGGAUGUGGAAUUCCAGGUGUAGCGGUGAAAUGCGUAGAUAUCUGGAGGAACACCGGUGGCGAAGGCGACAUCCUGGACCGGUAUUGACGCUGAGGCGCGAAAGCCAGGGGAGCAAACGGG